rnacentral:misc_RNA from 1 species
GGUGCUAUUGCUGCUCUUCUCAGCGCUGUAUUUCCAGUGCUGCACCCACCAGUAGAAGCGGAGAGAGGGGAAGGUGGCCGAGAAGUUGCUCCCCUUUUGUGAGGCGCCACACACGCUUCUCACGCAUACCAUAUCUGUUUCGCUGUCUCACCACGUUGAGAUGUCCGUGUUUUUGUUUUGUGUGUGCAGCUCAAACACGCACAUCGCUCCCACCCCUCACUAUUAUCCGCCUCUGUCGACUUCUCUGUGCCCUUUCUUUUACAGCCACGGAGGGCUUCGCAGUGCCUGUCGUCGUGUCUGCGUCUGCGCGUGUAUGCGGCCCUCUUGAACACGCGGCUGUCCUAUGCCACUAACAGCACGCGUGCUCUCUCGAUUUCGCUCACUUUUGAUUCGCCGCAUCGAAGCCGCUCACCCAACUGCACCACAUACACACACACACACACACACAAAAAGGUGUCAUGUCUUGCACAGCCAAGUGCAGCGGCUACGCCUCUCUGCGCGCUGAGUGCGCGCGGGAGCCCUGCAUGGCGAGCGGCAUGUGCACAUUGCUGAACCCCCGUAUCUCGGACUGCGCCUCGUGGUGCUGCACGAGCCGCAGCGGGUACGUCUUCUUCCUUGUCGUGUUCUUCUGCGCCGGGACGUUUGCUUUGUGCGCCUCCUACUACCUCCACCGCCUUCACCAGAUCAACGUCGAGGGCGGUGCCGUGCAAGAGAACGGCGAGGCUGUGGUGGUGGCCGAGCCGCCGACGGAGGAGGAGAUGGCCGCGGCACGCCGCAAGAAGCGUGCUGUCGUUGUGGACCCGGCCCUGCUCAAGGAGCUUGAAUCCAAGCAUUGAACGGAGAAGAGGCGGGAUACGUGGUGGGGCGGAGGGAAGGGAGCAAACCCCCCUAUCCUCCCCUAUCGCGUUCUCCAUGUCUCUCUCUCUCUCUGAUGCUUCCAUCGCUGAUCCAUAAUCCAACUGCGUUGCGUGUCUGCGCUUGCGCGCAGAAUUGGGCUGUUGCCGUACAGCGAUGCGUUGCCAUCUGUUUUUUCUCUUCCCCAUCUUCUUCCCUUGGUACCGGAGGGAUGGCGAAGUCGGAGAUGAUGAGCGCGUUGAUGUGCGUCUGUAAGUGUUUGAAUUCUUGUGUGCGGGUUCCGACCAGUGCCUUGGUGGCGCCCCCCCCCCGCGUUUGAAUAUUAAGACUUACACAGCGCCUCUUCUGCUGCAGGGACCCUGGCGACACCACACGGCUUAUGUGUCUCGGCUCUUUGUUCUAGGAUCCCUCUUCUGCUGUGGGGUUUCUGCCUUCUCGCGCACGUUUGCCGCACUGCAGCUUCG